rnacentral:rRNA from 1 species
GAUGAACGCUGGCGGCGUGCCUAAUACAUGCAAGUCGAGCGAAGAGACGAGGAGCUCGCUCCGCUGACGUUAGCGGCGGACGGGUGAGUAACAAGUAAAUAACCUAUCUAUAAGACUGGGGUAACUUAGGGAAACCGUAGCAAAUACCGGGUAAUAUCACGAACCGGAGGGUGCUGUAGUGAAAGAUGGGUUUGCGAUCGCCUCUAGGCCGAUCCGCGCCGUAUUAGCUAGAUGGUAAGGCAAUGGCCUAACAAGGCAACGAUCCGAAGCCGACCUGGGCGACUGAUCGCCCACCCUGGAGCUUGACCGCGGUCCAGGCGCCUGCGGGAGGCAGCAGUCUGCAAUCUUACGCAGUGGGCGAGAGCCUUACGGAGCAGCGCCGCGUGAGAGAUGGAGGUCCUGCGAUCGUGAAGCUCUGUUAUUAGUGAAAAACAACUGUGUAAGUAACUAUGCACGUCUUGACGGUACCUACUCAGAAAGCCCCGGCUAACUACGUG